CUGACUCAGGAGACAGACAGACGGCUUCAGUAAGUCCGACUUCCCACCAGCUGUUCUGAUCUUCCAGGCUCACUUCAUCCGGCCAGGCGGAACUUGGCGACACGUGAUCCCACACAAGACUACGCCAAGCUGAGUCUUACUGGGGAUCCGUGCUGGAGUGGACUGGAGCGGACUGGAGCGGAGGUCAGGAGGUGAGAAGCUUGCUGAGAGAGAAGGUAGUCAGGGUGCCUCGAAGGCAGUCGGGGGAACGCCAAGCCUCUUCUAUCCAGCUGGAUCAUUCUGCCUGGGGCUGGCAAAAAAAUCUGCCCAUUCUGAGCUAUCAACAGAUACAGAGGCCUAAUGAGAAGAGAUGUGGGUCAAAGAAAGUAAGCCUUUAAAGACACACUUAUAGCCUGUGCUGUCCCCUGAGGGUGCCUUGUUACCUUACCCUGCUCCAACGCACACAGCAUAACUUCUUUUCCUGGUCACUCUGAUCUCCAGGUUUCUGAGAUUCCAGAGUGAUAUGCCUUGAUGUCUCUUUCCUUAUGUUUCAUGUGUCUAAGCUUCAGUGAGCUUCUAAGAACUAAGGCUUGUCCAGGAGUACUGGUCAGCUAAGCUCCUCGGUGCCACCAAGAAUAGCUGUUCAAACAGUCAUCCUUCAGUCAUAGGAAAGCUUCGGUACGGAGAAAGGGUGUGCAUCUAUCCGUGGCUGGUGCAUCUCCAAAUGAUUUCAAUUUAUGAUGAUAUUUGAAUACAGAAAAAUAAACGAAAACACUAGCACAUUUGACAUUUGAAAUUAUGCUGAUUGGCUGGCAUAUUUUAAAACACAUCAAAUAAAGACAGGCAUCAAUGUUUGACAAA
rnacentral:lncRNA from 1 species